CUUCUGGCCUUCAUCUUUCUCCCAUGCUGGAUGCUUCCUACCCUCAAACACUGGACUCCAAGUUCUUCAGCUUUUGGACUCUUAGACUUACACCAGUGGUUUGCCAGGGGCUCUAAGGCCUUUGGCCACAUACUGAAGGCUGCACUGCAGGCUUCCCUGCUUUUGAGGUUUUGGGACUCGGACUGGCUUCCUUGCUCCUCAGCUUGCAGAUGGCCUACUGUGGGACUUCACCUUGUGAUCAUGUCACACCCUACAAGCUGGGGGAGACAGAGAUGAAGUCAGUGGUUCUGUCUCGGCUUAUGAUUAUAGUCACCUGAGAAUCUUCAAAAAAGAAAAAAAAAAAGAUGCAUUGCCCUGGCCCCAUCUCCAGAGAUUCCAAAUGAAUGAGUCUGGGGCAGCUCCUGAGCAUCAGUGAUUUUUAAAAGAUUCCUGGGUGAUCUGAAAGUGCAGCUAAGACUGAGGACCAUGAGGAGAUGAGGGCACGAAUAACAUGGAUUAAAAUGAAAAGGCAAGGCUAUCCUGAACACUUCAGAGGGACUGCUCUCAGGAAAGCCUCCCAGCAGGCCUGCACCCUUGGCCUGCACAGGACUGACAGCCCUUCUAUCUCUGCUCAGCCCCAUUGACCACAAAUUUAGCCACUGCUCAGGCGAGAGAUGUGGCACAUCUGACUCAAACUGAGCAAAGAGAAGACGGUAGCAUGACUAACUUUCUCUCAGCUGAACAAUAAUGGUACCACCUUUCUCGAGGGAGUGUGCAUUUUGAGAAACUGUGCGGCUGCCGCCCACCCAAGCUCAGGAGUCCCAACGCUUGGGCAGAGAAGAUUUUGAGGCAGGUCUAAAUGUCUCUAAAAUUUGUAUGGCUAUAAAAAA
rnacentral:lncRNA from 1 species